rnacentral:rRNA from 1 species
UUGGAGGGCAAGUCUGGUGCCAGCAGCCGCGGUAAUUCCAGCUCCAAUAGCGUAUAUUAAAGUUGUUGCAGUUAAAAAGCUCGUAGUUGAAUUUCGGGGUCAGUAGGUCGGUCGUGCCACCGGUAUGAACUGGCUUCACUGAUUCCUCCCUCUUGUAGAACCGUGAUGCCAUUAAUUUGAUGUUGCGGGGAAACAGGACUGUUACUUUGAAAAAAUUAGAGUGUUUAAAGCAGGC